CGGGACGGGUGAGGAAUACAUCGGAAUCUACUCUGUCGUGGGGGAGUAACGUAGGGAAACUUACGCUAAUACCGCAUACGACCUACGGGUGAAAGCAGGGGAUCUUCGGACCUUGCGCGAUUGAAUGAGCCGAUGUCGGAUUAGCUAGUUGGCGGGGUAAAGGCCCACCAAGGCGACGAUCCGUAGCUGGUCUGAGAGGAUGAUCAGCCACACUGGAACUGAGACACGGUCCAGACUCCUACGGGAGGCAGCAGCU
rnacentral:rRNA from 1 species